ACCCCAACGGAAAUGCUCUAGUCGGAAGUUGUUACUUGUUUAUACUGUGUACUCACCUGACGCAACAUGGCCAUGGCGCGAGCUGAGAGGUGCAUCCAUUGCAGGUGGUUGGUUCCAAAUAUGGAGAAGUGCAUCAUAAUAUCAAAGUGAUAACCAGGUUGAAUAUAAUAGUUAUGUCGAUCAGAUAGUUGGUAAACAGAUUCAACAGCAUCUGCAGCUGAAA